rnacentral:lncRNA from 1 species
AGACAGAUGUUUUAAAUCCUUAAACCAAGACUUGGACCACAUAUCCUCUCAAACGAAUAGCAGGGGAAGCAAAAUAGUGAUUGCUUUGCAACGCUUCCAGUUAGCCAGAUUCCUUCCAAACCACUCAUUGUUGAAUUUGUGAUUUCUGCCUUGUUGUGUAAUGUUUAUGGCCAAUGACCACAGAUACAUUUUAUCUACAGUAUAAUUUCUCUUCAUAUGACAAGGAUUGAGAAGGAUUUGCCAGUAGAUUGUUGACAUGAUUCAUGGUGAUGAAUGCUUGUCUAGCUUGCUAGCUAAGGUUUUGAAUGUAUGAUGUUGACAUGAACAGACCAAUCAAAGCUCCGGGAGAUAUAACGUGAUUUGACGUCAUUUUAUCAGUGGCCAAUGACCUUGAGCCUUCUUGGAUGGGCACUUCUAAUGUAAAUCUAUGGCAGCACCCAAGGGGGCUUGAGCUUUCUAGCUCUCCCUGUAGAUUUUGCGGUGACGUAGGGCCCCCCCAUGAGUGACAGAACACUGAGCCAAUCACGGCGCAACUAGAGAACCUUACCAACCCCUAUGCUCUGUAUUAUCCGCUGGAUACCCAUCUAUUUAGUUUUAUUUAUUUAUUUAACCCUUAUUUUACCAGCUUCCUUCUCAACUGUAUUGACGGAGAACGUCCAUGAUCCCUCCUCCAAUGGAUUUCGAAGAAGGAGACGAGGAGAGAGGCUGCGAGGAAUCGAGGAAAAAUUCAUUGAGAAAGAGACCUGGACGUAGAAUUGUCCACAUAGCCUGUGACACAGCCAGACUACAGUUAAACUAUGGGAACCAUGUUCAUACAGAGUAACCCAAUCGCCCAUGAAGACAGCUAACUAAAAGCUAGGAAGAAGCUAAAUCAGUGUUGGGUAGCUUGGUAGCUAUGAUUCAAUUUCACAGUUUUGGGUACAGUGAUAUCACGAAGCCAAAGUUAGGCUCCCCUUUUAAUCCCCUCCUCUUCCUCCUCCUCUCAGCUCUCUACUCUCAGUCACGACUGUGCAGAUAAAGACUGUGUGACUCAGCAGCCCGAACCGAACAGCACGCACAGUCAGAAUGAACACCUCAAAUAACCACAACCAUCCGGCUUAAAUGCAUCCAUUAUAAUGAUGUCUAUUAUAAUGGUGAUUGGUUAGCGCGAUAGUUGGGGUCGCUAUGGAGUCAGUUUGGGGGGUGAGUGUGUAGCAGAUGGGUAUUUGUGACGCUUGCUCCUUAGCCUGAAAUGUAAAAGAGGUACGGCUAAGCAAGCAGCGUGACGUCUGCUCACAUCUUCUCGCCUUGCCUCCUCAAAACGAAUUGGAAAAGGUUUGAGAGACCUUGAACCUUGUCCUCCAAUAUGGUCGAGAAAGCGGCGAGGAGUACGAUCCGAGGAAUUGCGAGUGACAAAUUGAAAAAGAACCCUCGUCUUGACUUGGUCAACUUGUUGACCUUCCUUUCUGUAGACUGGGUUAGUGCUCUAAAUAAUUUGCUGCUCGAUAUUCCCACGGUUAAAAUUGUCCAUUAUUUCAAGCCUAAUUGAGAAGAAAUAUUUUCCCUCUCUUUAAGUAUCAACACGAGUCUGGCUUGGCUUGAUUCAGUGGGCUCUAUUGCGUGUGUGUAUGUAUGUGUAUUAGCUGAAGGCUGCUACAGGUCCCAUUAUCUCCCAGUGAUGGGGUUAUACUGUUACCUUCCCAGUCAGUGUCACAUUCUCAAUAUCCUACUGUACAUUCAUAUCCAUACAUCUUCCAUUGAAUCCCUCUAGUCCAUGUUCACAUCAUUUUGUAUUUGUGACCAUUCAGAGAGCCUAUUCAUUGGCACCAUUUCCCAGCUCCCCUAUUAUUUCUGAUAGAGGAUGUUCACAAUGUGACAAAUAUAACCUGGGGUCCAAGCUCUGCAGGCUGCAGUGCAGGGGGUGUCAGGGCCUCUAUGAUAAACCGACAAGGGACAAGGCCAAGCACACAUCAUAGAAGACCCCACACACAAUCCCAAUGUUUUGAGCUGCUGCCCUCCAAGAGGGUCCGGUCCCACUGUUCAGCAAGAACAGGAAGGAGGCAAGUUUCAUUCCAUCAGCCAUCAGGCUGCUGAACAGUGGGACAUAGGAUGAUGCAGGCCCAAUACAAGGUCAGACAGUAAGCCGCAGAGACUUUGAAUAUGUGAAAAUGUAGCCUAAAUGUGUGACUUGCUACUAGCUUUCCAGUUUUCCGUGCUGCAUGUAAUAUAUUGUGUUGUGUUUGUGUAUUUGCAUGCUGACGUCACGAAAUGCCUUUCCAUGUAAAUGGCCAAUAAAGUAUAUAUUCGUGCGUGUUAUACAGGAUUCUUGGGAUGACCCUACCCCAUUGAAGUUAAAAUGUACAAUGGUUAUGGUAAGGGUUAAGGUUAGGGUUAGGUAAGGGUUAUGGUUAAGGUUAGGUGUUAAAGUUAGGAUUAGGGGUUAGGCUAGGGCAUAGCUGCGGUAAGUAGUUUGUGGGUGGGCAUGCUGCAAAAAAAGAAUUGCGCUACAGAAGUCAGCUAACACAGGACUAGUAAAGGUCCAGUGCACUACUUUUGUGAUUUUUUUUGUCUAAAUGUAUUUGUAUUUGAGUGUUUACCAGCAUUUGUAAUUUGAGUCUCAUAAUUAUCUGUACAAAACAGUUAAUCUGAUAAUACUUGCUUGAUAUACAUUUUCCAGUUUCUUGAAAUACUUUGCAAAUGCAACAUAUUUCAAUGUGAAAACUUAAAUGGUCUAUUCAUUCCUUUUACUAAAUGCUCUUAUCCAGAGGAACUUACAGCAGUUAGUGUAUACAUUUUCUUUCUGGCCCCCCUUGGGAAUUGAACCCACAACCCUAGCAUUGUAAGCACCAUGCUCUACCAAAUGAGCAUCAUCAUCUUAUCACAUCAUUAUAAACCACAUGAUGUCUCAAUGUACUCAAUUACUGUAUUGUGCAUCGUUUUUCUUGAUGGUGAUGGAAAGUCAACAGGUACAAACAUAGAUGACCAGCCUAUGUACAAUACAGUAAUGUACAUUUACAUUAAGUGGUUUGUAAUUAUGGUAAAU